GAUGAACGCUGGCGGCGUGCCUAAUACAUGCAAGUCGAGCGAACAGAUGAGGAGCUUGCUCCUCUGACGUUAGCGGCGGACGGGUGAGUAACACGUGGAUAACCUACCUAUAAGACUGGGAUAACUUCGGGAAACCGGAGCUAAUACCGGAUAAUAUAUUGAACCGCAUGGUUCAAUAGUGAAAGACGGUUUUGCUGUCACUUAUAGAUGGAUCCGCGCCGCAUUAGCUAGUUGGUAAGGUAACGGCUUACCAAGGCAACGAUGCGUAGCCGACCUGAGAGGGUGAUCGGCCACACUGGAACUGAGACACGGUCCAGACUCCUACGGGAGGCAGCAGUAGGGAAUCUUCCGCAAUGGGCGAAAGCCUGACGGAGCAACGCCGCGUGAGUGAUGAAGGUCUUCGGAUCGUAAAACUCUGUUAUUAGGGAAGAACAAAUGUGUAAGUAACUAUGCACGUCUUGACGGUACCUAAUCAGAAAGCCACGGCUAAGUACGUG
rnacentral:rRNA from 1 species